rnacentral:rRNA from 1 species
UACGUAGGUGGCAAGCGUUAUCCGGAAUUAUUGGGCGUAAAGAGCGCGCAGGUGGUUGAUUAAGUCUGAUGUGAAAGCCCACGGCUUAACCGUGGAGGGUCAUUGGAAACUGGUCGACUUGAGUGCAGAAAAGGGAAGUGGAAUUUCAUGUGUAGCGGUGAAAUGCGUAGAGAUAUGGAGGAACACCAGUGGCGAAGGCGGCUUCCUGGUCUGUAACUGACACUGAGGCGCGAAAGCGUGGGGAGCAAACAGGAUUAGAUACCCU